rnacentral:tRNA from 1 species
GCCCCACUUAGUAUGGUGGUUGUGAUACUCGGCUUGUAAUCGAGUGGGCUCGGGUUCGAAUCCCGAAUAAGGCA